rnacentral:lncRNA from 1 species
GCGAUCCUUCUUUCCUGAUUUUUGUUCCACUGUCUUCUUCUUUGACGCAUGUCUUGCUGGAACCCCAAACCGUAUCGGGCUUUGUGGUGCACUGGCUUUAAAGCCCUGACUAUUCCUUGCAGAUAUCUCCCUAAACCUCUUCUCGCGCGAGCUCCCUUUCCUGCGGUCAAUUUGACACCCAUUCUAGUAUUUCUCGACAGUUUUGGCACUGGAAUUCUGUUUCCCUCAACAACAAAAGUGGCAUUGACGAAUUC